UACGAACUGUGCAAACGUUAUUCGGAUUCACUGGGCUUAAAGGGUGCGUAGGCGGCCUAUUAAGUCAGGGGUGAAAGACGGUAGCUUAACUAUCGCAGUGCCUUUGAUACUGAUGGGCUUGAAUGUAGUUGAGGUAGGCGGAAUGUGACAAGUAGCGGUGAAAUGCAUAGAUAUGUCACAGAACACCAAUUGCGAAGGCAGCUUACUAAAGUAUGAUUGACGCUGAGGCACGAAAGCGUGGGGAUCAAACAGG
rnacentral:rRNA from 1 species